UACGUAGGGUGCGAGCGUUGUCCGGAAUUAUUGGGCGUAAAGGGCUCGUAGGCGGUUUGUCGCGUCGGGAGUGAAAACCAGGUGCUUAACACCUGGCUUGCUUUCGAUACGGGCAGACUAGAAGUAUGCAGGGGAGAACGGAAUUCCUGGUGUAGCGGUGAAAUGCGCAGAUAUCAGGAGGAACACCGGUGGCGAAGGCGGUUCUCUGGGCAUUACCUGACGCUGAGGAGCGAAAGUGUGGGGAGCGAACAGG
rnacentral:rRNA from 1 species